GGAUUAGAUACCCUGGUAGUCCACGCCGUAAACGAUGAGAACUAGCCGUUGGGACCUAUAAGGUCUUAGUGGCGCAGCUAACGCGAUAAGUUCUCCGCCUGGGGAGUACGGCCGCAAGGUUAAAACUCAAAUGAAUUGACGGGGGCCCGCACAAGCGGUGGAGCAUGUUGUUUAAUUCGAUGCAACGCGAAGAACCUUACCACCCCUUGACAUACUCGGAACUUUCUAGAGAUAGAUUGGUGCCUUCGGGAACCGAGAUACAGGUGCUGCAUGGCUGUCGUCAGCUCGUGCCG
rnacentral:rRNA from 1 species